ACGACUGCUGAUACCGAACUAAUUGUAUAUGCGCACGAAAUUCUGUUUACACUUUACUGUCUGCAUAAAAUUCGUUGAUAUAAAAAUACAUACCUAAGUACAUACUCGUAUAACAAGUGGUUCGUCUGGCAGGUGACGAAGUUUGUUUUUUUUUUAUAAAUUUCAUUAUGUUCGUUUUUACGUAUAUAUUGUUGCUUAUGUCUUUAUCACAAAAAAGAUGACAAAAACGUUGGAUUUGUCCCUCUGUUGAUUCCAAUGUGUAAAAUGAAAUAAGUUUGAGAAAAGUAGUACAUUUCGUAAAUGGAAUUAAUAUCGUGCAGUUUCAUUCAGUUGAAUGCAUACCUGCUUUUACGGGCUCUUGUUAAUUGAGUGAAACUAAAAACUACCAAAAUAUCGUAGCUGCUCUUGCUUUUCCAUUUAUCGCCUGAUUUUCGCAUUGGAGACAGAUCUAAAAUGGAAAAAGAAUUAAUGAUGGAGGUGUUCAAAUUCAUCAUUCUCACGUGGCUCACAAGCUUUGUACCUGCAUCAUAUUGCCAAAUUGGAAACUCCAGCUCAGAAAAGAUUUGUAACAUCACAAUCUAUCAAGAAGAUGGCACUUUUCCUGGAGCUAUAGCAGACGAAUGGCAAUCAAAAAUUAUAGACAGUUGUCCUGAAAAUUACACAAAUCAAGAUAUCAUUGCAAGCUGUGAACGUUUCCAUCCCUCGGAGGAAAUUGAAUCAGAUUUAUUCAUUCCGAGAACAAACAACAUCACCAAAAUAACCUACAUAAAUAAAUAUUGCGGGUAUUGUAAUAACGAGAAUGAUACAGAUUGGGAUAAGUAUUACUGGAGAACUUGGGAAAAGUUUAGAUUUUUGGAAGACCCAUGCGAUAACUACACAUCAAAAAUAGAAGCAUCGGAUGUUGAUGACUUCGACAAAUGGAUUCAGACUUUCCUCAAUAACGGAAUGAUACUGGAGUCGAUCCCUUAUCGCAAAAAGUUGCAGUGCUUUGGGAAAAAAAAUUGGCCUUUUAAGUUGAUAAGCAAUGUGAUUCCUUGUUUAGUGAGCAAUUAUAUAUAUGGUCAGUCCAAGAGAAUGAAGUCGUGCCAAUAUUAUGAUAAAAUUGGCAGAAGUUGUAACAAAAUGGAGUUCAUCCUCGAUGGUUACAUUUUUGAAUAUCGUGAUAAAAAUAAGGAUUAUCACCACUUAUCAGAAAUUAAUCUCACCGGAGGUGAUUAUGUCGUCGAAACUGUAAAUCAAGACCUAUUUUAUAUGUGUAAACAAAUUUACCAAGCAGGAUAUUGGGGUAAGCUUUUACGCGUCUUUAUUUCUAUAGCAUUGCUGAGUGCUUAUUUAAUCAUGAAUUUUAAUAAACGAUAUUUGGAAAUUUUCUCAAACCACAUUUUGUACGUUUACUCAAUAGGAUCGAUAGUAAUGAGUGUAUUGCUUACCUACAUCUAUCUGGAAUUCCCAGUUUCCAAUGUUUCUUUCUAUCUCGCUAAAAUUUUCUGGUCUUAUCACUUUAUCUGGACGAUGUUAAUUUUUAUUGUAUUUUGUAAUCUAGCGUUCUGCUUGUGCAUUCGGUGGGAAGAUAUAACCAAAGGGAAUACAAAUGUACAUUAUUAUUCAUUAUUUCUUUUCGUUUUUUUCGUCGUAUUACCCGUAUUCUUACCUCUAAUGUAUCUCAACUUCUUAGAAACUUAUGAAAAUAAUUGCCCUUUAAUUCAUGGGCAUAUGGCUGUGCUAGACGUUGUACCUCCUGGAAAUUUAGAGUAUAUGAAAUUAUUCUUAAAUGCGAUCUUAUCUUGGUUAAUGCCUAUUAUAUUUUUUCCUGCGAUAAUUUGCAUACUGAUUGAUAUGUCAUGUAGUAAUCCUGAUGAAGUGAGAUCUGCAACACCGUCCAGAGGAAAAUCUCCGAUUUUUUUUCUCAAAAUGUUGUUGAUUAUGGGUUUCCAUUUUGUACUGUAUUUACUUUGCUCAGGGUAUUAUAGGAAUGAAAAUACGUACACUGUUAUUGGUCUAUCCAUAAAUAUGGACACCGUGGCACAGCUCAGUAUUGAUUUUCACGGUGUGCUUGUAUUUUUUGUUUUCUUAACUGAGAAUACUUGGAUUAAUGAUAUUUUGAUAAAGCAUGGAUAUAAACAGGGAAAUACUACUCAACAGAAUUGUAAUGGUGCGACAGAAACAACCGUACAAUUUCAGUCUUGAUGUGAGACUGAAGUCAUGUUUUUCUCAUAAGUACAAAGUUUUUAUUUCCAGUACUUGAUAAGUAUUUUAUAGUUACCUACUGAGUAGGUACAUUUUAUUUUAAGUAAAAAUGUAAUGCCAUGAAGAUGAAUAUAAGAAGAUUUUGAAAAAUUGAAUACCUAGGUAUGUACCUAAUUCUACCACACAGUGAAACCAUUUUUGGAGCCUGAUUAAAACUGAACAGUGUACCUGAAAAAAAAAACUUUCUAAAAUGAUCUCUUGAUAAAUUUCACAGUUUUUCAAAUUACGUACGCUGUGGUGUGGAAGAUUUUUGAAUUUAAAUAACCACUCUUCAAUCAUGAAUUUUUCGAAAUGUUACUGUCUAAAAUAAUUUUCAAACAAUUUUAAGAGCUUUUUUCAGACUUGAAGAUUAUAAAAUAAAAAUGUACUCACGUAUUUGUUUUAAGACACUUUGCAAUAUUCAUUUGGGUGAUAUUUUUGUACUUACCUAUGUAAGGAUUUUUAUGUAUACCUACUCGUAUUUUUGAUUUUAGGUACAUAAUUUUAUUUUAUUGUAGUUUUCUAUUUUUUUUACUUUUUUACAAAUACAUGCGAUUUCUUUUAA